rnacentral:misc_RNA from 1 species
CGCACCUUGCGCUCCUUGGUAUUCCGAGGAGCAUGCCUGUUUGAGUGUCAUGUUUAUCUCAGCCCUCUUAGACUUUGAUGUCUGAGUGGAGUCUGGACUUGGAGGCUGCUAGCGCAAUCUAGCUUCUCUGAAAUGUAUUAGUGUGAAUAUUACUAAAUGUUCUCCAGUGUGAUAAUUGUCUGCACUGUUAGAUCUUUGGUGAAAAUUAUUGUUCAUGCUUAUAAUCGUCCUCUGGACAAUCCAUUUGCAUUUGACCUCAAAUCAGGUAGGACUACCCGCUGAACUUAA